CACUCCAGCCUGGGCAACAGAGCAAGACUCCGUCUCAAAAAAAAAAAACAACAACAUACAAAAAUGCCUUUGGGAUUCAGCGUAAUCUGCAGGUUAUAAAAGCAACUGCAAGGAUGAUAGGAGCUUUUUUCACCACAGCCUAGGAUGCCUUUGAGAAAACCGACAAAUUUGAAAACAUGAUAAAGGUAACAUCUCUCUACUUCCCCCUGGAUUCAGCCCCUCUACUCUGCCAACAUUGCUCUCACCAGGGUACCCAGUGACCUCCAAGUUGCCCACUGUGGGAGCACUCCUGAGUCCUCAUCUUACUGGAACGCUCCUCACGACCAUCAGGGAAUCUUCUGCUGCCCAUGAAAGGAAGCCCAACUCGAAUUGCUGCAAGCAGAACUAGAUGGGGGUCUCGCCACGUUGCCCAAGCUGGUCUCGAACUCCUGGGCUCAGGUGAUCCACCUUGGCCUCUGAAAGUGCUGGGAUCACAGGUGAGAGCCAUCAGUGAUUGUUUAGGAUGCAGUUCCACAGAAAGUCAGUCAGAAAAUAGAAAUUCCACAUUCUUCAAUUGCACCCAGUUCUACAAAGAGCAGACAUGAAGGACUCAAGUCUUCCCUACUUUGGUGAAUGUUUGAAGCCUAGAGAAACAUAUUCCAUCAAGAAAGAAUAAUAAUUAAUAGAACAUGUUUGUAUACUCUAUAAAUUUUAUACAAAUUACAACAUUUCAGUUACCAUCAUUAUAAAUUUGAUAUACUGUUUAAUUUAUACCAUGUUAUCUUUAAUGUUUCUAUAUAUUUGGUGUAAUCUGUGCCAUAUUACUCUAUAAUUAGUAUAUUAAAAUGUAGUAGACUAUAGCUCUCUAUUAUAUUAGGAGAAUGCUACAUGUGUAACCAAAGAGAAUCUUAAUAUGUAUAGGAGUAUUCAUUAGAUAUGUAGAUAAUUUUUAUAUAUUAAUGAUACCUGCAAAUUUGUCUAGAUAAUACAGUAACUGUGACAAUAAGUAGUUUUUUUUAAGGGUUUAGAAAGUUAAAUAAUCAGACAAUGCAACAAUUUUUCCAGAAUGAUCUUAGAAAACUCCUUUGAGGUCAGCUAACAUGACAUCAAAAUUCAGUGUGCAUAACAGUUUGUUACUGAAAUACUUUGUCAGAAAAGGCUUUGCAUUAAAAAAAAAAUUGACGUAUUGAUUUCUUUUUACAGACGGGGUAUUGCUAUAUUGCCCAGGCCGGA